CCUACGGGUGGCUGCAGUGGGGAAUAUUGGGCAAUGGGCGCAAGCCUGACCCAGCAACGCCGCGUGAAGGAAGAAGGCGUUCGGGUUGUAAACUUCUGUUCGCAGGGACGAAGAAAGUGACGGUACCUGAGGAAUAAGCCACGGCUAACUACGCGCCAGCAGCCGCGGUAAUACGUAGGGGGCUAGCGUUAUCCGGAUUUAUGGGGUGUAAAGGGCGUGUAGGCGGGAGCGCAAGUCUGAUGUGAAAACUCAGGGAUCAACCCUGAGCCUGCCUUUGAAAUGGUGUUUCUUGAGUGCUGGAGAGGCAAGCGGAAUUCCUGGUGUAGCGGUGAAAUGCGUAGAUAUCAGGAGGAACACCAGUGGCGAAGGCGGCCUGCUGGACUGCAACUGACGUUGAGGCCCGAAAGCGUGGGGAGCAAACAGGAUUAGAUACCCGAGUAGUC
rnacentral:rRNA from 1 species